rnacentral:rRNA from 1 species
GAUGAACGCUGGCGGCGUGCCUAAUACAUGCAAGUCGAGCGAACGGACGAGAAGCCUGCUUCUCUGAUGUUAGCGGCGGACGGGUGAGUAACACGUGGAUAACCUACCUAUAAGACUGGGAUAAAUUCGGGAAACCGGAGCUAAUACCGGAUGAUAUUUUGAACCGCAUGGUUCAAAAGUGAAAGACGGUCUUGCUGUCACUUAUAGAUGGAUCCGCGCUGCAUUAGCUAGUUGGUAAGGUAACGGCUUACCAAGGCAACGAUGCAUAGCCGACCUGAGAGGGUGAUCGGCCACACUGGAACUGAGACACGGUCCAGACUCCUACGGGAGGCAGCAGUAGGGAAUCUUCCGCAAUGGGCGAAAGCCUGACGGAGCAACGCCGCGUGAGUGAUGAAGGUCUUCGGAUCGUAAAACUCUGUUAUUAGGGAAGAACAUAUGUGUAAGUAACUGUGCACAUCUUGACGGUACCUAAUCAGAAAGCCACGGCUAACUACGUG